rnacentral:lncRNA from 1 species
CGCCAACCAGUGCCCGAUCCUGUCCGGUGGCGACGAAGGAUUCAAGUUCAAGCCCGGCAGCUACAGCGUCAAGAAGUUUUGCCUCGAGCCCACGUCCUUCACCGUGAAGAAGGAGUCGCCAUUCAAGGGUGGCGGCGAUCAAUACGUCGACACCAAGCUCAUGACGAGGCUGACAUACACGCUGGACGAGAUCGAGGCCGACUUGAGCGUGGACGAGAAGGGAAACCUCAAGCUGGUGGAGAAGGAUGGCAUCGACUACGCUGCGGUUACCGUCCAGCUCCCCGGAGGCGAGCGAGUUCCAUUCCUCUUCACCAUCAAGGAGCUCGUAGCGACUGGCUCCCCGGAUGGAUUCAGUGGAAGCUUUCUGGUGCCGUCUUACAGGGGCUCCUCGUUUCUAGACCCCAAGGGACGCGGUGGAUCCACCGGGUAUGACAAUGCGGUGGCGUUGCCGGCCGGAGGCGCUGGUGACGAGGAGGAGCUCGGCAAGGAGAACCUCAAAGAUACCUCGGGGUCGACUGGGAACAUCACCUUGAAGGUGGCGGAGAGUAACACCGCCACUGGAGAGAUUGCCGGGGUAUUUGAGAGCAUCCAGCCCUCGGACACGGAUCUGGGAUCGAAGGCUCCCAAGGAAGUGAAGAUCCAAGGUAUAUGGUACGCGCAACUUGACUAAAGAAAGAGUCACAAAAUCAGAGAGGAGAGAUGAUGUCCGGAUGUUUGAUCAGGAGAAAAUCCUUGCAUAAGAAGGCUGUCAUCUUCUCAAACGAGCGAUCUCACAUUGUAAAGUCUCAAAUCCUUUUUAAACUACAAAGCUGUUCCAAGAUUCCAUCUGUAGUAGCCAACGUUAAAAUCAAAUCACAUUUUUCUCAUCUGGAGCACAAGACUCUAUGAUAUCACAAUGGAUUGAAUCUUAACCGUCAGUUUGAACGGCCAUGAUCAUUCUCUCUCACGUAUAAAAUAAAGGAUAGGGUAAGGGUUUUCUACAAUUCGUAGGCGGUGGUUGCGUUUCUUGGUGAGUGGCUAUGGCGGUGUUGAUUUCUUGCUUGAAAUUCUGGGUCGGUGUGUGUGAUCUCUCAAGGAUUUCGUACCGGAUCUGAUCGAUUUAUCGUCUUUUUGCGAGACUGUAGGCUUCUUUCGGCAGCAGCGAUGCAGAUCUUUGUGAAAACCCUGACUGGCAAGACGAUCACUCUCGAGGUGGAGAGCUCGGACACCAUUGACAACGUUAAGACGAAGAUUCAGGACAAGGAAGGGAUUCCUCCGGACCAGCAGCGUCUCAUCUUUGCAGGUAAGCAGCUAGAGGACGGCAGGACCUUGGCGGACUACAACAUCCAGAAGGAGUCUACCCUCCAUCUCGUCCUGCGGCUGCGCGGCGGGAUGCAAAUCUUUGUGAAGACCCUGACCGGCAAGACCAUCACUCUGGAGGUGGAGAGCUCGGACACUAUUGACAACGUCAAGACGAAGAUCCAGGACAAGGAAGGAAUUCCUCCGGACCAGCAGCGACUUAUCUUCGCUGGGAAGCAGCUCGAGGAUGGACGCACCUUGGCGGACUAUAACAUCCAGAAGGAGUCGACCCUCCACCUUGUGCUUCGUCUUCGUGGAGGGAUGCAGAUCUUUGUCAAGACACUUACAGGGAAGACCAUCACUCUGGAGGUGGAGAGCUCGGAUACGAUUGACAACGUCAAGACUAAGAUCCAGGACAAGGAGGGAAUUCCCCCGGACCAGCAGCGUCUCAUCUUCGCCGGGAAGCAGCUUGAGGAUGGGCGUACGCUGGCGGACUACAACAUCCAGAAGGAAUCGACCCUCCACCUCGUCCUGCGGCUUCGUGGAGGCAUGCAGAUCUUCGUGAAGACCCUGACCGGCAAGACCAUCACCCUGGAGGUGGAGAGCUCGGACACGAUUGACAACGUGAAGACCAAGAUCCAGGACAAAGAAGGAAUUCCCCCGGACCAGCAGCGCCUCAUCUUCGCCGGAAAGCAGCUUGAGGACGGCAGGACUCUAGCCGACUACAACAUCCAGAAGGAGUCGACCCUCCAUCUCGUCCUCCGGCUCCGUGGAGGCAUGCAGAUUUUCGUCAAGACUCUCACCGGCAAGACCAUCACCCUGGAGGUGGAGAGCUCGGACACCAUCGACAAUGUGAAGACCAAGAUCCAGGAUAAAGAAGGCAUUCCUCCGGACCAGCAGCGUCUCAUCUUUGCCGGGAAGCAGCUCGAGGAUGGGCGUACCCUGGCGGAUUAUAACAUCCAGAAGGAGUCCACCCUCCAUCUCGUCCUUCGUCUGCGUGGUGGCCAAGCUUAAGUUCUCUACUGUGAAUGUAAGUAACCUCUCUUCCAUGCAAUAAAAAACGCACUGCCGCUUUCAACACCAUCUAAUUGAUGUCGACAAGGUGUCUAAAUAUAGUAUCAGAGUUCUAAAGCUAAACCUCCAACCCAUCUAGUUUGAGGUGGUUGUGCAUAAUAAACAGCAAUAAAAGAAAAGAACAUAAUUAUUAGUAAUACACUUUGGGAAGUCAUUGAGAUGAUUGUAACAAAAAAAUGUUUUUAACCCUGUCCGUUUUAGGAUUUUUCCACUUAUACGUAUAGAAGUCCCAGAUGGCGUGACGAAAGUCCGCUGCAGAACUGGCGCAUUCUUCCCAAAACCAUGUAAGCUUUUAUACAGCACCAGUUUUACAUUGGCGAUCUGCCUUAGUGACAGCGAUAACAAGUGCUGCCACCCAGAAAAUCACCACAACCACGUUAGCUAUGGCCUCGUAAAGCAUGGCUGACCAGUGCCACUUUGGGAGAUGGUCUCCCUCCACGAAAUGUGGAACCUUUUCCUUGUAGUGAAGCAGCCCCUUGCGCUGUCCAGGCUUGUAGCUGGGCGGACACAAAAUGUACACAAUUGGUACAAGCAUGUGUGUGCAAGUUGAAAGAAGAAAGAAGGACAUUGCGAUCACGUAAAAAUCAUGGCUGCAAUUUCGGCCUCUUUGCUUCGCUACCCAGGAAAUUCUGUAGGCCACCACUGCCAAGACCAGGAGUAUGUAGAUGAUGUGAACCUUAACAUGUUUGAGCUUGACAAGGAAAAAUUUGAUCAAGGCUGGCUGCUUGGUGAACUUGGCCUGUGCCGCAACUCGAUCGAUGCUGCUUGUUGGAGUGAAUGUGAAAGUGGAAGAGUACGAAAAGAUGGACUUGUAUAUGGUCUGGAGGAAGAAGGGUGUCAUCCACCAGAAAUGUGACUCGUCCCUGGAUGGAUUGUGGAAGACCGAGCCAGACUGAGAUCCAAGAAAGGCGCCAGAAAAUGAGGAAGAUGGCGAGCUGGAUGAUAACACGCCGCGCCUCAUGGGAGGUGCCGAUCAUGAGGUCCAAGUGAAGUGUAAGACAAACGAUGAAGAGGAGAAGCAUAACAAGGUUGACGAUUGCGAUGAAGUAGUAUCCCGUGUGCCAGAAGAAACUCACCUUGAGAACCAAGGAGAGUUUGCUCUUUGGCCCAAGCAUCUCUCUCCAUGUCGCAGAGAAUUGCUGUAUAGCUCCCUGGCACCACCGCUGCCGCUGCUUGAUAUAUCCUUCAAACGUCCACGGUGUAAGACCAAUCUAACAAUCAAAGGGGGAGUCAACAAAAGUCAUCGUGUUUUGAGCAACAGCAGACCUGAAGCUUGCGGUUGAGGUAGACGGACUUGAAGCCCUGGUUGAAGAGCUUGAAUGCGGUCAUGGUGUCUUUUGUGAUUGACAUUGGCUGGAAGCCUCCAAUCUCGUCCAGAUGUUUCCUUCGGAAGAUUGCUCCAGUUCCAACGCAGGGUGCGGCCCCAAAUGUGUACCUGUGAAUCAUGACACGCUCGUGGCCAAAUCCGCAAGCAUCAUUUAGAGGGUCUCCCACUGGCAGGUUAGAGGGAUUUGCACGAAUGACACUUUGGGGUCCUUCACUAUGUGAGGGAGCAAAGUCUUCAAGAAUGAGGGGUGAAGUAUCAUGUCUGCGUCCAUCAUCACCACGAACUCCGCGUCAGAAUGCUCCAGGCCGUAGUUAAGGUUACCGCAUUUGAAGUUGUGUGGGACUCCUGGAAUCUGCAACAGUGAGAUCAUGAGCACGCACUGGGAAGGGAAUAACAAUAUUGUAAGCUACCUUCUUUCUACGAAGAUAUUUGACACAAGCACUCUCCAAUUCCUCACAGUAUCGUUUUAGCUCAUCGUCCCCUCCAUCAUCAAGGACCAAAACUCGAAACUGGUGCUUGGGACAAUCCAUGGCCAGGGCAGCCUGAAUGGAAUCCUCGGGAACGUCAGUGGGCUCUUUAUAGCAGGGAAGAAAUAUGUCAACCGUCGGAAGCUCUUCCCAAUUCAACGAUAAACACUGACGGGGCCGCCAUAUUCGAGGCGGUAACACCGGAUCCGCAGCCGAAAUAACGCUGCUCGCAAAGUAUAUCACCUCGCAAGUCGUCAAAACUAUCAGCCACGGCCUCCUCGCGAGCUCUCCGGGAUGUUUAGAGUAAACAUAGAUCCUAUAAACGAGGUAAUUCACAAAUGCAGCUAUGUGUGUGCACAGACAAGGAUGCAGAUAAUAGUGUGCCAGAUUAGCUUCCCCCAAUGUGGUGUCGAUGUUGGAUGAAGAGAAGACGAAUUGGAUGAAGAUGGAGAAGAAGAAUCAUGGGAAUCGCUUGGAUCACUAAGAUCACUUGGUGGUGUCUCCUGCUGCCGCUGCAACUCAAGAUCUUUAAUGCUAGACAUGCUACUAUCUUAAUGAGUUUCCUUCGUUCCAGAGAAUUUAUUCGUGAGCAUAAUGUACUUUUCGUACAGCUGCAUUUGUGUAUGGUUGGUUGCUGUCUUGCAAAUUGUGUCUUGAUUCGUGUAAAGUUCCACUGAGAAGAGUUAUUUCGUAAGGAUGUUAAGAACUGCAAGCGAAAAACAAAUAUCAUGUGUAAAAGUUAGCUAAAUCUUCCGGUUUACAUUGGUGAAAUAAAGAAGUGGCAUGUACAACGAAAGUUGAUUGACUAUAUAGCACCUGCCUUACACCAGCGUCGAUCCGACUUGGUGACGAUUAUAACUAGGGCCGCCACCCAGAAGAUACUCGUAGCAACGUUAGAUAUCCCCUCGUAAAAGAUUAUUGACCAGUGCCACUUUGGGAGAUACUCUCCCUCCAGAAACUGUGGAACUCCUUCCUUGUAGUGAAGCAGUGACUUGCGCUCCCCAGGCUUGUAGCUAGGUGGGCACAAGAUGUACAUAAUUGGUAUAAGCAUGUGUGCACAGGUGGAAAGUAGAAAAAACGAUAUGGCGAUCACGUAGAAAUCAUUCUGGCAGUUUUUGCCACCUUGCUUGGCUAUCCAAUAAAUCCUGUAGCCAACCACACCCAAAACCAGGAAUAUGUAGAUAAUGUGCACCCUUACGUGCUUGAGUUUCACAAGGAACUUGAUCACCGCUGGUUGCUUCUUGAGCUUGGCUUGUGCUGCAGCACGGUCAAUGUUGCUUGUUGGAGUGAAUGUAAAGGUGGAAGAGUAUGAAAAGAUCGACUUGUAUAUCGUUUUGAAAAAGUAGGGGGUCAUCCACCAGAAAUGUGACUCGUCCCGGUUGCGACUUUGGAUUGACUGGGGAAGACCGAGCCAUACCGCGAACCAAGACAGGCGCCAGCAGAUAAGAAGAGCUGAGACAUUAAUAAGAAUGCGUCGGCUUUCAUCAAAGGUGCCAACAAUGAGGUCCAAGUUCAAGGUAAGGAGAAUUAUGAAGAGCAAGACCAUAACAAUGUUGAAAACUGAGAUGAAGUAGUAUCCGGUGUGCCAGAAGUAACACACCUUGAGUAGGAAUGAAAGCCUGCUCUUUGGCCCAAGCAUCUCUCUCCAUGUCGCAGAGAAUUGUUGUAUGGCUCCCUGGCACCACCGCUGCCGCUGCUUGAUAUAUCCUUCAAACGUCCACGGUGUAAGACCAAUCUAACAAUAAAAGGUGGAGUCAACAAAAGUCACCGUGUUUUGACCAACAGCAGACCUGAAGCUUGCGGUUGAGGUAGACGGACUUGAAGCCCUGGUUGAAGAGCUUGAAUGCGGUCAUCGUGUCUUCUGUGAUUGACAUUGGCUGGAAGCCUCCAAUCUCGUCCAGAUGUUUCCGUCGGAAGAUUGCUCCAGUUCCAACGCAUGGUGCGGCCCCCAAUGUGUCCCUGUGCACCAUGGCGCGGUCAUAGCCAAACCCGCUCGCAUCAUUUAGAGGAUCCCCCACCGGAAGAUUGUAAAACGACUGAGGUAUUUGUACGAAUGACACUUUGGGGUCUUUCACGAUAUGAGGGAGUAAAGUCUUCAGGAACGAUGGGUGAAGUAUCAUGUCUGCGUCCAUCAUCACCACGAACUCCGCGUCGGAAUGCUCCAGGCCGUAGUUAAGGUUACCGCAUUUGAAGUUGUGUGGGACUCCUGGAAUCUGUAACAAAUGGUCAUGAAAAAAGAAAUGUUAUAAAAGUUAACCUUUUCUCGACGAAGAUAUCGGACCGAAGCACUCGGAGGCUCGACAUGCUCCAAUACCUCACAGUAUUGUUUCAGCUGGUCGUCCCCUCCAUCAUCCAGGACCAAAACGCGAUACUGGUGCUUGGGAUAAUCCAUAGCCAGGGCAGCCUGAAUGGAAUCCUCUGGAACGUCAGUGGGCUCUUUGCAGCAGGGAAGAAAUAUAUCAACCGUGGGGAGCUCUUCCCAAUUCAAUGACAAACUCUGACGGGGCCGCCACAUGCGAGGUGGUAACACCAGAUCCACAGCUGCAAUAACGCUGUUCAGAAAGUAUAUCACCUCGCAGAUCGACAAAAUUAUCAGCCAAGGCCUUCUCACGAGCUCGCGGGGCUGCUUGGAGUAGACAUAGAACCUGUAACUGAGGUAAUUCACAAAUGCAGCUACGUGUGCUGAGACAAGGAGACAAAUGAUUGUGUGCCAGAUUAGCUUUCCCCAUGGAGAUGCUUGAGGAGCAGCUAACACAGAUGUGGAUGAUGAAGGAGAACUAGACAGAGACGAAGAAGAAGAUUCAUGGGGUGCAUUAGAAUCACUAUGGUCGCUAACAUUAUCACUUGGUUGCUGCUGCAACUCAAGAUCCCCCACACUAGACAUGAUGCUGUGGGAGGAGGAAUCACUGGAACAUCUUACAUAUUCAUGUUUGAAAGGGUUAUUAUAUAACGUGCCAUGUCCGUCCAGCUGUGCAUUUUGGUUGAGCUGUCAUUUUGUACAUCAUGGCGGCUUGUGAACAGAAACCAAACUUUUCAAUACUAAUCUAUCUUAGAAAAUAUCCUAAGCACGGGACGAUGUGUGAACAAUUAAAUAGAGGAAUUGAAUAAAUGGCACUCAGUUCAUUGUGUAGAUGCAAAGUAGUAUUCAAUGGAACAUAAAUGAGCUGACUGAUGAACGUGCGAACAACCUUGACAGACCAGCUAAUUCUUUACAUGAUCAUAAGUGGAUUACAAUGGUCUCUUUGAAUAAUAAAUCAGAUGUGUAUUAACGAAACAACUCCUCGGAAAACACUUGCAUGUAAUGGAGUGAUGAAAGAGAGCUGUAUAAACCUUGUUUACUUGUUGACAUACUUUCAAGAAUCGUUGAAUUCAACCGAGUAGAGCCUCUCGGCCUCGCAGUUGCUCCCAAAGUUGAUGCGCCGGGCAGACAGCUCCUCCCAAAUUGUCACGGCCACCUCACGAUCCUCGUCAAUGUGGAAACUGUAGUUAUCGAGCUUCUCACAACCUGUUUCCGUGUAGCGUGGAAUGUCGUUGCUCUUCGAGCUGAAAAAAGUAAUCUUCAUCGCCUUCUGAUUACUAUAUACCUACCGGAAGGAACGAGUGUGUUACCGACUGAUCCUCCAUCACCUGCUCGUCCUUCUUGACAAACACCUUGAAAACAUUUUGACACCUCUCAAUCCCAAAGCAGUCCAAGAACUUGUACUCUGGUGGAUCGACGUACCAGCGAAAGAUGUGGCUUGUGGAGAUCCCGUAAGAGAAUUGGAGCAAGUCUGGUAGUCAUUCUCAUGAAUUUCCCCUGUUUUUUUAUGCUCUAGACCGCCGCCGCGAAUCCAAAGCGCCUCACAUACGACGAGGUCCAAGCCCAGACGUAUCUCGAGGUGAAAGGCAGCGGCACCGCCAACCAGUGCCCGAUCCUGUCCGGUGGCGACGAAGGAUUCAAGUUCAAGCCCGGCAGCUACAGCGUCAAGAAGUUCUGCCUCGAGCCCACGUCCUUCACCGUGAAGAAGGAGUCGCCAUUCAAGGGUGGCGGCGAUCAAUACGUCGACACCAAGCUCAUGACGAGGCUGACAUACACGCUGGACGAGAUCGAGGCCGACUUGAGCGUGGACGAGAAGGGAAACCUCAAGCUGGUGGAGAAGGAUGGCAUCGACUACGCUGCGGUUACCGUCCAGCUCCCCGGAGGCGAGCGAGUUCCAUUCCUCUUCACCAUCAAGGAGCUCGUAGCGACUGGCUCCCCGGAUGGAUUCAGU